GGUGGAAUUAUUGGGUCAUAUGGAAGUUCUAGUUUCAGUUCUUGAGGAACAGCCAUGCUGUUUUCCGUAAUGGCUGUACUAAUUUACUUUCCCAAGAAUAAC
rnacentral:pre_miRNA from 1 species